CCCUGACAGCUACAUUGGGUAGCUGACACUAGCCACGACAGGAGAUCAUAAUG
rnacentral:ncRNA from 1 species